GAUGAAGAACGUAGCAAAAUGCGAUAAGUAAUGUGAAUUGCAGAAUUCAGUGAAUCAUCGAAUCUUUGAACGCACAUUGCGCCCGCCAGUAUUCUGGCGGGCAUGCCUGUUCGAGCGUCAUUACAACCCUCAGGCCCCCGGGCCUGGCGUUGGGGAUCGGCGGAAGCCCCCUGUGGGCACACGCCGUCCCUCAAAUACAGUGGCGGUCCCGCCGCAGCUUCCAUUGCGUAGUAGCUAACACCUCGCAACUGGAGAGCGGCGCGGCCAUGCCGUAAAACACCCAACUUCUGAAUGUUGACCUCGAAUCAGGUAGGAAUACCCGCUGAACUUAAGCAUAUCAAUAAGCGGAGGA
rnacentral:misc_RNA from 1 species